rnacentral:rRNA from 1 species
CCUACGGGAGGCAGCAGUGAGGAAUAUUGGUCAAUGGCCGCAAGUCUGAACCAGCCAAGCCGCGUGAAGGACGAAGGUUCUAAGCGUUGUAAACUGCUUUUGUCAAGGGGUAAACGCAGAUACGAGUACCUGUCUGAAUGUAUCGUACGAAUAAGGAUCGGCUAACUCCGUGCCAGCAGCCGCGGUAAUACGGAGGAUUCGAGCGUUAUCCGGAUUUAUUGGGUUUAAAGGGUGCGUAGGCGGUCGGAUAAGUUAGAGGUGAAAUCCCGAGGCUCAACUCCGGCAGUGCCUCUGAAACUGGUCGGCUAGAGAGGAGUUGCGGUAGGCGGAAUG